CCAAACCACUCUGUGUGUACGAGGACAAUGUCCUUGAUCUCUGGAAAGACUAUUUCCACAUGGUCAACCUGACAGAAAUCAUGCGACAGAAAGAUGAUCAUUCUUUUGCUGAAGUUCUGAACAGGAUAAGAGUGAAGCAAAAAACAGAUUCUCUUGAAGCCAAUGACAAAGCCUUGCUCACACAGGCUAUCCAUGACAUAAAAGACUGUCCAUCUAAUGUGUUACACAUUUAUGCUACAAACAAAGAGGUGGACAAACACAAUUCAGCAACUGUAACUGCUCUUCAUUCUGAUAUCAUAAAUAUUCAGGCCGAAGACUACAGAAAAGACCCACGAACGGGUGAGAUGGUCCUGCUGGCAGAUAUGAUGAAAGGCAACAAAAGAGAUUUACCUGAUAACAUACAAGCUGCACCUGGAGUGCGUGUUAUGAUUAUUAGAAAUUUGGAUGUUGAAGAUGGGCUUGUUAAUGGGACAUUUGGAACAAUCACGAACAUUGUGACAACCACACAGGAUGGACCAAAAACUGUGAAUCUCAUUGGACUUACGCUGGACAAUCAAAAUUCUGGGCAAAAAUUUCGCAGAAAAAUACAAGGAUCCUCAGACAACCUGGUAUAUAUUGAGAAAUGUGAAGAAUCUACAAGUAAAAAGGAGUUCUUCGCAGGCAAUUUCCAAUGAAGUUGGCCUUUGCAUGUACAGCUCACAAAGUACAAGGCAUGACAAUGGAGUCAGCAGUAGUAUGUUUGAAGCGUGUUUUGAACCUGGAAUGGCCUAUGUUGCACUCAGCCGCACAACCUCACUUAAAGGACUCUACAUCACAGACUUUGAUGAAAGGAAAAUCUAUGCUGAUCCUGCCAUCACAGAUGCACUCAAAAAUAUGAGACAUGCAUCAUUUGAGAAUGCAAGACCACUGUUGCAAUUCUUAAAAUCAGUUGUUCCCACAGUCCCCACGUUGACAAUUAUCCAUCACAAUGCACAAGGUCUCCCAACUCACAUGGAGGACAUGAGAUGCCACCAUGAACUCAGCCUUGCUGAUGUUUUAUGCAUAACAGAAACUCACUUGUCUGGAUCAUCAGUUUCUCCCGCUUCCAGCUCGAACAGUACAACAUGGCCACACGCAACAGACACGUCUCUUACACAAACCAUACAGACAUGGCAAAGGUAAAUGGCGGUGGAGUUGCAAUGUACUACAAAACAGUUCUUACAGCAGAGUCUCGAAAAUACCUGCAAAAUGUGACUGACCUUGAAUUUGUUGUUAUCAAGGUUGAAUCGCCAGUCACAGCUUUGAUAGCAACUGUAUACAGGCCACCAAAUUACAGCCACGUGAGGUUUUUACCACAAAUGCAAUGUCUUUUGGACUCAUUGGAAAUGAUGAAUUGCCAACCAAUUAUUGUUUGUGGAGACUUCAAUGAGGACCUUAUGAGCAGAGGAAAAAAAACCUAUCCAAGAACUGUUUCAGUCAAGAGGAUAUGCACAACUUAUUACUGCUGCAACUACCGAAAAACACACAUUGAUUGAUCACCUUUACAUAUCACAGCCAUACGCCUGCCUCCAAUCAGGUGUUCUGAAUACAUAUCACAGUUAUCACAACCCCAUUUAUUGUGUAAUUCACUAACACAAAAUGACUGCAAGGUUGUGAGGGAUAUGGACUUGCCAAGUGAUCUUAGUGUCUUUGCAACUGAGCACACUCUACCACCAACAAGGACAGCUCACCAGUGGGAGCUGAUACAUAAGACUGCUCUCAUCCAUUGAAGAGCUGACCAGAAACGUGAACAGAGAGACUGCAACUGCACCUGAUGGGAUCCCUGCCAUAACAGAUGUGUUCUGUCCAGUGAAGGCAGUAGAGAAGCCCUACACUGAUCUUGAAACUGUGCCACGCUAGUAGAGACCGGCUACAAGGAUGGGCAGCUGUUUUCGCAAAGUCAG